AGGUACUGAGUGUCCACUGCAGAUAUAUAGAAGGUUUCCUUUCUAAGUGACCCUUCAGUACCUUGGUUUCCGAAUUUUUGUACAAGUUAUCUCACCACAAGGCCACACUGAUUGUUCAUCAGAAAGCCUCGGUGUUAUAUUGAAGUUUCCAUCAUGCGUUGGGUUGUCUGUGUUGUGAAGCUAUCUCCGAACCAACUAUAAGGAGAAGGAGAUUGUUGUGAUCCUUCAACAUUUGUAUUCAGCGCUAAGAGUCAUACAUCUUAAAGUGUGGAAUAAUAUAUCUCCUCUGUAUUAAUUUGAAUAUGUUUUUAAUAAAUGUUUUAUGAUGGAA